UGGUAGCAACGGGCCUCCCUAUGAA
rnacentral:piRNA from 1 species